GAGUAUGCUCGCUCAGCAGCUCACACGCGAAAACAGAAACAAUACAGAGAAGAUUAGUGCGGCGCUGCGCAAGGACGACACGCAAAUGCGUGAAGCGUGCCACAUUCCG